rnacentral:rRNA from 1 species
UACGUAGGGUGCGAGCGUUGUCCGGAAUUAUUGGGCGUAAAGAGCUCGUAGGCGGUCUGUCGCGUCGGUCGUGAAAACUUGGGGCUUAACCCUGAGCUUGCGGUCGAUACGGGCAUGACUGGAGUUCGGUAGGGGAGACUGGAAUUCCUGGUGUAGCGGUGAAAUGCGCAGAUAUCAGGAGGAACACCCGUAGCGAAGGCGGCACUCUGGGCCGAUACUGACACUGAGGAGCGAAAGCGUGGGGAGCGAACAGG